ACAAGGCAGCAAGAGCAGAGAGCAGCCAUUGCUGUGUCUGGCAGCAUAUAAAAAUUUGCUUAAAAACUGCUAUCACUCAAUCACAAUCUGAACCAGUGCGGAUUCCAAACCCCCAACCCAUUACUGGAGUUCCCAGCAUCCACUACGGACUACGAGAAAUAGAAUUAUCGAUUUGGAGCAAAGGAACGCUGGUAGCCGCAGCCGCUGGAACGUGGAUGUCUGACCAAUGGAAUGCAAGUCGGAAGAGGCUAAAGAGCACUACAGGUGUGCAUUGUUUAAAGGCAUCAAUUAAAUAGCAGGGUUUAAAAGCAAAUCAUGGGCAGUACAAUAUCCUUACUGUCUGAGGAAGCCGCUUAUUACUCACAGCGAGAGGCGGGGAAACGCGUUACAGGAUACCUCCUUCAUACACCUGUUCUCAUGAUUAUCGGUACCCACGCUACAUAUGGGAAUUCGGGACUCUGGUGCGCUGCAGGCUAAAAGCUGCUCACUACUAAAAACCUCUAAAAUUGGAGGUUGCAUAUAGUGCUGUUUUGGAAUUCUUUGAACUAAUAUCUAAUUGCGGGUAUCGUCUUUUUCCAAUAUAUUUAUAAAAAGUAUUUAAAGACUAUGGUAUGAUGUCAGGUGUUUUUAAUGU